rnacentral:lncRNA from 1 species
AUAAACAUUUUUUUACAAUGAUGUUCUGGACUUCUCUUAUUUUAUGACUUGUACUUUUACCAUUUGAAUUGCAUGGGGUUUCCUUUUGCUUGAACUUUUACCAUUUUAUGACUUGUACUUUUACCACCGUUUUUAACUUGUACUAAUCAAUAUUUUUAAUUAAAAUAUUGAACUUAUAGUCUCCUCUCGACAUGGGAAGAUUUGCAUGUUAUGGGCUGAUCCAUUUACAAUUUGUACAGAUCCACAUGGGAAGAUUUUCUACGUGCACCUUAUGGAAUCAUACAAGAUACCAUUGUUUUCAUCUUUUUAUGCCAUAACUACACAUCAGCAAGUCUAGCAGUGCCACCUCUCGACAUAGUCUCCUUUGCGCUAGUUACCAGUCUUGUUCCUUGGCGAAGCCUCAAUUCCUAUAAGAUCAAAUGGGCAGGCAUGAGAGAAAGAUAAAUGGAACACUACUUGUGCAACAAUUCGAUAAAAAAAUCAUGUGUUUUGCUACAGAUUAUAUUACUUGAGAAUUUUUUGUAUUUUUUCAAUUUUAUGUCACAGAGAACCAGUAAGUUCUACUACUGGUAGAAGCCAAGUUCAAGAACUUUGCUGGCGACAAACUAUGACAGUUAUCCAGCGGCACCAAUAACCAGAAAAUGUUUUUUUCCUGAGAACACACAUCACAAUUUUUGAAAUGCAUCAGUACACACACAUUUUCAUUAUUCAGAAGCAAUCAAACAUGCUAAAUAGUACUCAUGUACUUACUGGAACCACACAUAUUAUAAAAUAUUAAUCAUGUACUUACUGGUACAAAUCAAAUUUGCCACUUGGGAAAUUAAGCUCUCCAAAACAUACUAAAUUCUCUUUUCUACAGUUUUCGGUUCACAUGUGCAGCAUGAAAGGAAGAAGUAACUGACCGUCAAUAGCACUCAGCGGUAUAUUAUUCAACAUUAGAUGGGAACUUGGACGAGGCGCGGUGCUCUACUCGUACGGCGCCCAGUGCUCAACUUGGACGGACGAGGCUGUCAUGCGCUCAGAAGGUUCUGCACCUGCAUAAUUACCAUAAGGGAAUUAUGGCCAUCUCCCCUGUCUUCAGAUGGCGGCACUGCAGGCCCAGCAGUUGCUGCUUCUCGAACCAAAGGGAGAGAGAAAGGGCAGGCCUAUGGCCGAGCACAACGUCAACUUGAUAUUCAUCAGUACUAGUAUGACUGGACAAGAAAGUAUUUAAUUUUGAACACUAAAUGAAAUCCGGAUAGCCUAGUGAAAUUGCAAUAUGGAGCUUUAGUCACCUUCCCACGACAAAGAGUGAAGCAUAAAAAGUAGUACUGUGCACUUUUGAAACAUUGACUAAAACCAUAGUUGUUGUAGGCCCGUCGUCGUCUAUGAUGGUCUUUGUGAUUACUUGAAUGGGUAGCCAAGGUGCUGGUACUAAAAAAUGCAUGUCUCAAAUCAAUUCAGACCAAGCUUCACUUAAUUCCCUCACCUAUGUUACACUUUCUGUUUCGGGUAUAAAAUUGUACUUACCAAAUAUUCUCUUCUAGAUGGAUUUGUAUAUGAAUUUAGAUUUGUAACAGCAGACACACCGAACUUGCAGAGUUUUUCGUUGAACUUAUCUAGAUGAUAUAUCCAAACUUGCAGAAUUUUGAAACUUGAACUCCGAACUUAUUAUAUCCUCGAGUCUGAACUGAUACAAUCAUAUAAGAAUUUCAGGCAUUAUGACCUGUAGUUCUCAAAAAAGCUAAUUCAUUUUUGCACCAUUAUACCAAAAAAAGCGGAAAAAUAUUUGGUUCUCAUACACAUUUUGACAAGCACCUAUAGAGCAUUAAUUUGUGCACAGAAUAAGCACAAGAUUGAAUUAAGUAGCGUCAAGGCACAAUUGAAAAGUAGUGGCAGCAUCAGCUCAAGUUGCUCCUCUGGUUUUGUGCCCCUAUUUAUGAUAUCAAACGACAGCACAUGUCCAAUAACAUAAUUUUUCAAUAAAGCUCCACAAAAUCAAGUACAACUUCUGCCAAAUUACUAAUAGAAACCCACACCUUUUCACGAAGCCAGACUUGAAAUCUUUCUACGACAAUCUUCAGACUUAUGCAUGUAGAUGAAUUGAACUUUAGACCUUUUCACAUCCUUUUCUACUACUUUGUUUCCAGAGAGUGGGAGAAUUUAGGGCAUUGCAAAUAUUAUCUAUAAUAUGCCCAGUUAGUGUGGUCUGAACUGAACUUUACCUGAUCAAUGAUUUUCCAGAGCCAUGUGUGUGAAUUUUUUGUUUAGCAAACUGCUGGAUUUUUUCUAUGGAAUUGCCAGUGCAGUGUGCACACAUAUAGUUGAUUUAUUUCCCAUGAACUAACUGAUUUCACUAUUUAUAUUGAACUGUGAAAAAUCUUGUUUUGCUAGCAAAAUUUGAACAGAAAAAACCUACAAAGGUGUACGCAUAUAUAGAAAAUCCUAUAGAACACAUUUGUUUUGCUUCAUGUAGAGCAGCAACGAAGUGAGAUCGAGAGAAAAAGGAAGGUUGGGGUGCUGACCAUUGGUGUCGGCGGAAGAAUUGCAAGCAGAGCCGGGGAGAAGAAUCAGAGGAGCGGCAGCGCGUUGGGUCCCUGGGAGGUGGCGGGGCGCAGGAAGCAAGUCCCGACGGCGGUGAUUCCUGGGAGAAGGGGGCGUCAGUUCGGUGGUAGCUGACUGAUGGUGCUCGGGAGGCGGGCGGUGGAGCUCGAGCAAGUUGACAUAGCCGCGCGCUGGAUGAAGGGGAGGUCCCCGCGGUGCGCCAGGGGGAGGGGGAGGUUGUGGUGGCAAGAUGGAGAGGUUGACGGCGAUGCGGAAGGAGGAGGCUGGAUGGGCAAUGGAGGACGACGAGGACGUGGCGGCGUCGCAGAGGAAGGUGGCGGUAGCGCGCGGGUAGGGAGAGGCAGGGGUCUGGCGCUGGCUGCGCGGGUAGUGAGGGGCGGGGGUCCGGCGUCGGCAGCGCGCGAGUAG